AAGAAUCUACAGGUCGAGCAAGUCUCGUAAAUUUCACGAUUGCGAGCCACGCUUCACGCAACCGUGUUUGCGUACUUGUGUUUCGAGUUGCGUGGUCGUGCGGAGUUAUAUUUACCAAAUUUAAAUGUAAUCGUUUCUACUGAUAAUAAUAUACUAUUCUCAAUAUGGCUACUGGGUGUAAAAGAUAAAUCUUAUUCUAUCUGUUCUUCAUGAGUUUUAGAUAAUUUUAGUUGUAUUUCUUUGUAAUUUUGUGUUGUACAAAGAUUAAUUUAACAUUUUCUCUGGAAGUAUUAAUUUAGAAAGAUAAUAUGCUUCAUUGGUGUUGUGUUUUGAAGUGUGAAAUGCAAAGUAAUUGUGAUAAAGUCAAGAUAAAGUUCACUUUUAAACUGAACUAAAUAAGGUAUCUGAGAGACAACAAUGGUUAAAUGCAAUACAAUGUACAGGUUUUACUAGCGAAAUGAACAUUUUCCUGUCCUGUCUGCUGUAAUCAUUUUAUAUCUGGAAAAUAGGAAAACCAGCCGACUUAAUCGAUAAUAACAAUCUCCAGAUUGGGUUCCUUCAAUAAAUAUGGGCUAUAAACACAAUGAAAUAAGUUCCCCAAAAUCUAAAAUGGAGUGCUAUCAAAGGAGAAUUAAAGGAAAAAAUAUUCAUAUUGAAAUUAUUUAUAAGGCACUGGACUGUCUUAAAUUCUACAAUAAUACUAGAAUCAGCUGAGAGAAGUGGUCUACAAAAAACCAGGAAGGAAACGGAAUAUGUGGCUACGAAAGGCAAAAGAAAGGUUUACAAAGCAAAUGUGACACAUUUUUUUGAAAUAUUUAGGAAUAUCAGUAAAUUGCAUUAAAAAAUGUAUGAAAAGAUUUUGUUCAAUAAAAAUGUUUAUAUUUA